AGCAGCCGCGGUAAUUCCAGCUCCAAUAGCGUAUAUUAAAGUUGUUGCAGUUAAAAAGCUCGUAGUUGAAUUUCGGGAUUGGCGCAUCGGUCGUGCCUUACGGGGUAUGAACUGGUGCAGUCAAUUUCUCACCUUCUGGAGAACCGCGAUGUCCUUAAUUGGGUGCCGCGGGGAACCAGGACCUUUACUUUGAAAAAAUUAGAGUGUUUAAAGCAGGCAUUUUUGCUUGAAUACAUUAGCAUGGAAUAAUAAAAUAGGACGGCAUGGUUCUAUUUUGUUGGUUUCUAGGACCACCGUAAUGAUUAAUAGGGAUAGUUGGGGGCAUUAGUAUUCAAUUGUCAGAGGUGAAAUUCUUAGAUUUAUUGAAGACUAACUACUGCGAAAGCAUUUGCCAAGGAUGUUUUCAUUAAUCAAGAACGAAAGUUAGGGGAUCGAAGACGAUCAGAUACCGUCGUAGUCUUAACCAUAAACUAUGCCGACUAGGAAUCAGACGAUGUUAAUUUUUAAUGACUCGUUUGGC
rnacentral:rRNA from 1 species